rnacentral:rRNA from 1 species
UACGUAGGGUGCAAGCGUUGUCCGGAAUUAUUGGGCGUAAAGAGCUUGUAGGCGGUUUGUCGCGUCUGCUGUGAAAUUUCGGGGCUCAACCCCGAACUUGCAGUGGGUACGGGCAGACUAGAGUGUGGUAGGGGAGACUGGAAUUCCUGGUGUAGCGGUGAAAUGCGCAGAUAUCAGGAGGAACACCGAUGGCGAAGGCAGGCCUCUGGGCCACUACUGACGCUGAGAAGCGAAAGCAUGGGGAGCGAACAGG